ensembl:lncRNA
AUGCUGCAUGAGGAUGAUGAGCGGUCUGCAAAAAACAUUCAGAACCAACUUCAGUCCAGACUGCAAUUACAAGUAUCAACCCGCACAAUCAGGAGGUCAAUAAAACAACUUGGAUGGACAUACGGCAAAUCCAGGACAGACCCUAUGAUUCGUGACAACAACAAGGCCCUGCGUCUUAGUCAAGUUCAGCAGUGGUUAUCUGUCCAAGAGACAUUUGACAACGUGAUCUUUUCUGACGAAACUACCGUGGCUUUGGAGCGCUUUGCUCUGAUGUGCUACAAGAAAAGGGGUCGCCGGGUUGUGAAACCAAAAGCUAAGCAUCCUGUAAAGCUUCACGUUUGGGGAGCCAUAUCCCGUCAGGGACCGGGACCGAUAGUUGUGUUUGAUGGUUAGUUCUACCCAUUCAGUAUGAUUGAAUCGAUUUGAGAGGCUGAGUUUGUAAACUUAUAAUUUAACCAUUUUCAGGAAUUAUGGACAAGCAUUUUUAUCAAGAGAACAUCAUAAAAUCUAAUUUGGCACCGUACAUAAGACAACACUUUAAAGGAUCUCAUCGCUUCUUCCAAGGUAAAUUUUUACGAACUGUGUUGUGAUCUUUUCUGAUUUUAAUGACUGAAAGUUGAAUAAGCGUUUAAUGUUUAAUGUUUAUUAUUAUUAUUAUUAUUAUUAUUAUUAUUAUUAUUAUUUUAACAGACAAUGACCCGAAACAUACAGCCGCGAGGCAGUAUAUUGCUGAGGAGGGGAUCAACUGGGUGAAAACACCAGCUGAGUAUGUUUGUGUCUGUUCAUUUUUUUAUUCUGGUUUACGAAAUGUACAUUUGACAAAAUCGUCCAACUUGUCAUUUUGUUUUCGCAUGCAGAUCACCAGAUCUUAAUCCAAUCGAGCUGGUGUGGCACGCACUGAAGGAAUUCAUCAGACGUCAGGUCAAGCCAAGAAAUAAAGACGAGCUUCUUGAGGCCA